AGUGAACGCUGGCGGUAGGCCUAACACAUGCGAGUCGAACGGCAGCACAGUAAGAGCUUGCUCUUACGGGUGGCGAGUGGCGGACGGGUGAGGAAUACAUCGGAAUCUACUUUUUCGUGGGGGAUAACGUAGGGAAACUUACGCUAAUACCGCAUACGACCUACGGGUGAAAGCAGGGGAUCUUCGGACCUUGCGCGAUUGAAUGAGCCGAUGUCGGAUUAGCUAGUUGGCGGGGUAAAGGCCCACCAAGGCGACGAUCCGUAGCUGGUCUGAGAGGGUGAUCAGCCACACUGGAACUGAGACACGGUCCAGACUCCUACGGGAGGCAGCAGUGGGGAAUAUUGGACAAUGGGCGCAAGCCUGAUCCAGCCAUACCGCGUGGGUGAAGAAGGCCUUCGGGUUGUAAAGCCCUUUUGUUGGGAAAGAAAAGCAGCAGGUUAAUACCCCGCUGUUCUGACGGUACCCAAAGAAUAAGCACCGGCUAACUUCGU
rnacentral:rRNA from 1 species